rnacentral:rRNA from 1 species
AGCUUGCUUGUUGGGGUUGUAGGACACUCUAUACGGAGUUACAAAGGACGACAUUAGACGAAUCAUCUGGAAAGAUGAAUCAAAGAAGGUAAUAAUCCUGUAGUCGAAAAUGUUGUCUCUCUUGAGUGGAUCCUGAGUACGACGGAGCACGUGAAAUUCCGUCGGAAUCUGGGAGGACCAUCUCCUAAGGCUAAAUACUCUCUAGUGACCGAUAGUGAACCAGUACCGUGAGGGAAAGGUGAAAAGCACCCCGGAAGGGGAGUGAAAUAGAACCUGAAACCGUGUGCUUACAAGUAGUCAGAGCCCGUUAAUGGGUGAUGGCGUGCCUUUUGUAGAAUGAACCGGCGAGUUACGAUUUGAUGCAAGGUUAAGCAGUAAAUGUGGAGCCGUAGCGAAAGCGAGUCUGAAUAGGGCGUUUAGUAUUUGGUCGUAGACCCGAAACCAGGUGAUCUACCCUUGGUCAGGUUGAAGUUCAGGUAACACUGAAUGGAGGACCGAACCGACUUACGUUGAAAAGUGAGCGGAUGAACUGAGGGUAGCGGAGAAAUUCCAAUCGAACCUGGAGAUAGCUGGUUCUCUCCGAAAUAGCUUUAGGGCUAGCCUCAAGUGAUGAUUAUUGGAGGUAGAGCACUGUUUGGACGAGGGGCCCCUCUCGGGUUACCGAAUUCAGACAAACUCCGAAUGCCAAUUAAUUUAACUUGGGAGUCAGAACAUGGGUGAUAAGGUCCGUGUUCGAAAGGGAAACAGCCCAGACCACCAGCUAAGGUCCCAAAAUAUAUGUUAAGUGGAAAAGGAUGUGGCGUUGCCCAGACAACUAGGAUGUUGGCUUAGAAGCAGCCAUCAUUUAAAGAGUGCGUAAUAGCUCACUAGUCGAGUGACACUGCGCCGAAAAUGUACCGGGGCUAAACAUAUUACCGAAGCUGUGGAUUGUCCUUUGGACAAUGGUAGGAGAGCGUUCUAAGGGCGUUGAAGCAUGAUCGUAAGGACAUGUGGAGCGCUUAGAAGUGAGAAUGCCGGUGUGAGUAGCGAAAGACGGGUGAGAAUCCCGUCCACCGAUUGACUAAGGUUUCCAGAGGAAGGCUCGUCCGCUCUGGGUUAGUCGGGUCCUAAGCUGAGGCCGACAGGCGUAGGCGAUGGAUAACAGGUUGAUAUUCCUGUACCACCUAUAAUCGUUUUAAUCGAUGGGGGGACGCAGUAGGAUAGGCGAAGCGUGCGAUUGGAUUGCACGUCUAAGCAGUAAGGCUGAGUAUUAGGCAAAU